rnacentral:tRNA from 1 species
GUCAGGAUGGCCGAGUGUCUAAGGCGCCAGACUCAAGAACCGAGGUUCUUCGCCGACAUGAGGUGUUGAGUAUUCUGGUCUCCGAAUGGAGGCGUGGGUUCGAAUCCAACUUCUGACA